UGAACGCUGGCGGCAGGCCUAACACAUGCAAGUCGAGCGGAUGAAGGGAGCUUGCUCCUGGAUUCAGCGGCGGACGGGUGAGUAAUGCCUAGGAAUCUGCCUGGUAGUGGGGGAUAACGUCCGGAAACGGGCGCUAAUACCGCAUACGUCCUGAGGGAGAAAGUGGGGGAUCUUCGGACCUCACGCUAUCAGAUGAGCCUAGGUCGGAUUAGCUAGUUGGUGGGGUAAAGGCCUACCAAGGCGACGAUCCGUAACUGGUCUGAGAGGAUGAUCAGUCACACUGGAACUGAGACACGGUCCAGACUCCUACGGGAGGCAGCAGUGGGGAAUAUUGGACAAUGGGCGAAAGCCUGAUCCAGCCAUGCCGCGUGUGUGAAGAAGGUCUUCGGAUUGUAAAGCACUUUAAGUUGGGAGGAAGGGCAGUAAGUUAAUACCUUGCUGUUUUGACGUUACCAACAGAAUAAGCACCGGCUAACUUCGUGCCAGCAGCCGCGGUAAUACGAAGGGUGCAAGCGUUAAUCGGAAUUACUGGGCGUAAAGCGCGCGUAGGUGGUUCAGCAAGUUGGAUGUGAAAUCCCCGGGCUCAACCUGGGAACUGCAUCCAAAACUACUGAGCUAGAGUACGGUAGAGGGUGGUGGAAUUUCCUGUGUAGCGGUGAAAUGCGUAGAUAUAGGAAGGAACACCAGUGGCGAAGGCGACCACCUGGACUGAUACUGACACUGAGGUGCGAAAGCGUGGGGGGCAAACAGGAUUAGAUACCCUGGUAGUCCACGCCGUAAACGAUGUNACUAGCCGUUGGGAUCCUUGAGAUCUUAGUGGCGCAGCUAACGCGAUAAGUCGACCGCCUGGGGAGUACGGCCGCAAGGUUAAAACUCAAAUGAAUUGACGGGGGCCCGCACAAGCGGUGGAGCAUGUGGUUUAAUUCGAAGCAACGCGAAGAACCUUACCUGGCCUUGACAUGCUGAGAACUUUCCAGAGAUGGAUUGGUGCCUUCGGGAACUCAGACACAGGUGCUGCAUGGCUGUCGUCAGCUCGUGUCGUGAGAUGUUGGGUUAAGUCCCGUAACGAGCGCAACCCUUGUCCUUAGUUACCAGCACCUCGGGUGGGCACUCUAAGGAGACUGCCGGUGACAAACCGGAGGAAGGUGGGGAUGACGUCAAGUCAUCAUGGCCCUUACGGCCAGGGCUACACACGUGCUACAAUGGUCGGUACAAAGGGUUGCCAAGCCGCGAGGUGGAGCUAAUCCCAUAAAACCGAUCGUAGUCCGGAUCGCAGUCUGCAACUCGACUGCGUGAAGUCGGAAUCGCUAGUAAUCGUGAAUCAGAAUGUCACGGUGAAUACGUUCCCGGGCCUUGUACACACCGCCCGUCACACCAUGGGAGUGGGUUGCUCCAGAAGUAGCUAGUCUAACCGCAAGGGGGACGGUUACCACGGAGUGAUUCAUGACUGGGGUGAAGUCGUAACAAGGU
rnacentral:rRNA from 1 species